rnacentral:rRNA from 1 species
AAUGAACGCUGGCGGCAUGCCUAAUACAUGCAAGUCGAGCGAACAGACGAGAAGCUUUCUCCUCUGACGUUGGCGGCUGACGGGUGAGUAACAAGUAGAUAACAUACUUAUUAUACUGGGAUAAUUUCGGGAAAACGGUUCUAAUACUGGCUAAUAUAUUCUACCGCUUGGUUCAAUAGUGCUUGACGCUUUUGCUGUCUCUUUUAGCUGGAUCCGCGCCGGAUUAGCUAGUUGGUAAGGUCACGGCUUACCAAGGCUACGAUGCGUAGCCGACCUGAGAGGGUGAUCAGCCACACUGGAACUGAGACACGGUCCAGACUCCUACGGGAGGCAGCAGUGGGGAAUAUUCCACAAUGGGCGAAAGCUUGACGGAGCAACGCCGCGUGAGUGAUGAAGGUCUUCGGGUCGUAAAGCUCUGUUAUUAGGGAAGAAAAAAUGUGUAAGAAACUAUGCACGUCUUGACGGUACCUAAUCAGAAAGCAACGGCUAACUACGUG